UAAGGAAUAUUGGUCAAUGGACGCAAGUCUGAACCAGCCAUGCCGCGUGAAGGAUGAAGGUCCUCUGGAUUGUAAACUUCUUUUAUCUGGGACGAAAACGGGAUUUUUAUCUCAAUUGACGGUACCAGAGGAAUAAGCACCGGCUAACUCCGCGCCAGCAGCCGCGGUAAUACGGAGGGUGCGAGCGUUAUCCGGAUUUACUGGGUUUAAAGGGUGCGUAGGUGGGCUUAUAAGUCAGUGGUGAAAUCUCCGAGCUUAACUUGGAAACUGCCGUUGAUACUAUAGGUCUUGAAUUAUCUGGAGGUAAGCGGAAUAUGUCAUGUAGCGGUGAAAUGCUUAGAUAUGACAUAGAACACCAAUUGCGAAGGCAGCUUACUACAUAUAAAUUGACGCUGAGGCACGAAAGCGUGGGGAUCAAACA
rnacentral:rRNA from 1 species